UAGGGAAUCUUCGGCAAUGGGGGGAACCCUGACCGAGCAACGCCGCGUGAGUGAAGAAGGUUUUCGGAUCGUAAAGCUCUGUUGUUAAGGAAGAACGAGUGUGAGAAUGGAAAGUUCAUGCUGUGACGGUACUUAACCAGAAAGGGACGGCUAACUACGUGCCAGCAGCCGCGGUAAUACGUAGGUCCCGAGCGUUGUCCGGAUUUAUUGGGCGUAAAGCGAGCGCAGGCGGUUAGAAAAGUCUGAAGUGAAAGGCAGUGGCUCAACCAUUGUAGGGUUUGGAAACGUUUUAACGUGAGUGCAGUAGGGGAGAGUGGAAUUCCGUGUGUAGCGGUGAAAUGCGUAGAUAUAUGGAGGAACACAGGUGGCGAAAGCGGCUCUCUGGUCUGUAACUGACGCUGAGGCUCGAAAGCGUGGGGAGCGAACAGG
rnacentral:rRNA from 1 species